CCCCUCUAUCCUUCUGUCUCUGUCUCUCUCUCUUAUGCUGUCUCCUCUCUCUGUGUCUUUCCCCUCCGUCUCUCUCUCUCUGUCUCUCUCUGUUUCUCACUCUUCUGUCUCUCUCUGUCUCUGUCUCUCUCUGUCUCUGUUUGUCUCUCUCUCACCCUCUCUCCCCUCUCUCCGUCUCUCUCCCCUCCAUCUGUCUCUCUCUCUCUCUCUGUCUCUCUCCUGUCUCUCUCUCUCUCUCUCUGUCUCUCUCCUGUCUCUCUCUGUCUCUCUCUCUCUGUCUCUCUCCUGUCUCUCUCUCUUUCUCUCCUCCUCCCUCUCUUUCCAUCUCUUUCCCUCUCUCUCUUGUCUCCUCUCUGUUCCCAGCAGGGCGUGGCUGCCCCAGGAGAGCUGAAUGAGGUCUCUGAGCGCUUUGUUCUGCCCUGGGGGAGGGACAGUUGGGCCGGAGGUGCCUUUGCAGCAUCACUCAGCAGCCAGGGGACUAAUUAAGAGCUUGAGUUACCCUAGCGAGGCUGGAAAUGGGACCUGCCUCUGCCCCUCUGCUGCUCCCCCAGGGGGCUGCUGAAUCCCUUCCCCGCUGGGCUGCUGGGCCCCUGCCCCCCUCACCCCCCAGCAAACAAACAAACAAACAUUCCGCCCAGUUUCUGAUUUUCCCAGACGCGCACUGACGUUUGAGCGGCCUGGAGGUCUCUGGGGGCAGCGUCCUGCGCAGAGCCCAGCACAGGUGACCGCCCUGAGGCCUCCCGCCCCAAGAGCAGAGCACGG
rnacentral:lncRNA from 1 species